rnacentral:lncRNA from 12 species
UUCUUAUCUUCCUUUUUUUAUUUGCUUUUUCUGGUAGAGGGUCUCUUAAUUCUUUUCUUCCCACAGUGCCUAGCCCUGACUCAGUAACUGAAGAGCCAGUGGGCAGUUCUACUGAGGGCGCUCAGAAGGACUUCCUGGAGGACGUGGGUCUUGAAGGAUAAGUGAGCAUGUGUCAGCAGAUGAUGGGACAGAUUUUCCAAGGAGCAGAUCUGGAGGGACAAGACACUGUGUCACGCAGGAUUGAAACAAAGGGAAACAAAGGUGAACCAUCCUAUCCAGACCGUGUCCUCUGGGAGCCUGCAGGCCAGUAAUGGAGGAGAUAAGUGGUGAAAUGAGGACAAAAAUAUGUUGGAUCUGAAAAUCAUUUAAAAUAUAUAAUUACUGUGCAGGUAAGAAAGCUUCCUAGGUAAUCCCUUCCUUUUUUU